UACUCCGCCGGCGACCGGCGCACGGGUGCGUAACGCGUAUGCAACCUACCUUUAACAGGGGCAUAACACUGAGAAAUUGGUACUAAUUCCCCAUAACAUUCGAGAAGGCAUCUUCUUGGGUUAAAAACUCCGGUGGUUAAAGAUGGGCAUGCGUUGUAUUAGCUAGUUGGUGAGGUAACGGCUCACCAAGGCAACGAUACAUAGGGGGACUGAGAGGUUAACCCCCCACAUUGGACUGAGACACGGCCAA
rnacentral:rRNA from 1 species